rnacentral:rRNA from 1 species
UAAACCGCUUUCACCAGGGAAGAAGCGAAAGUGACGGUACCUGCAGAAGAAGCACCGGCUAACUAUGUGCCAGCAGCCGCGGUAAUACAUAGGGUGCAAGCGUUGUCCGGAAUUAUUGGGCGUAAAGAGCUCGUAGGUGGUUCGUCACGUCGGAUGUGAAAAUCUGGGGCUUAACCCCAGACCUGCAUUCGAUACGGGCGAGCUUGAGUAUGGUAGGGGAGUCUGGAAUUCCUGGUGUAGCGGUGGAAUGCGCAGAUAUCAGGAGGAACACCAAUGGCGAAGGCAGGACUCUGGGCCAUUACUGACACUGAGGAGCGAAAGCGUGGGGAGCGAACAGGAUUAGAUACCCUGGUAGUCCACGCCGUAAACGGUGGGCACUAGUUGUGGGGACCUUCCACGGUCUCUGCGACGCAGCUAACGCAUUAAGUGCCCCGCCUGGGGAGUACGAUCGCAAGAUUAAAACUCAAAUGAAUUGACGGGAAAC